rnacentral:misc_RNA from 1 species
GUGCUGUAUCGCUAACAAAACCCCCUUUUGGAACUGCCUUGCCCUCUGCAUCUGUCAACCGCGGCCGCAUACGAGCCUGCACGCCUGCGCGGCUUCAAGCCGCACAUACACAAGCAGCCGUCGACGCUGUGUCCAGGUCUCCAGGCCGCCGGCGGCGCGCCCCCGCGCCUGCCCCGCACGCUCACCUCUUGUCCUGUCUCUGCUGCCAUGUGAUGCCACACGCCCGGCGUGUCCAUCCCGCUCCUCACCAUCGGUGGCAGCGCCCUCGCCUGCCACCAAUCCCUGCCUGAGCAUUCCCCCGCCAUGACCCUUCGUGCGGCCGCGCGCUCAUAGCCUCGACUUCCGCGGCUUCUGGCGUGAUA